GACGUCAUCCCCACCUUCCUCCCCGUUAUCCGGGGCGGUUUCGCCAGAGUGCCCAGCAUAACCUGAUGGCAACUGGCAAUAAGGGUUGCGCUCGUUGCGGGACUUAACCCAACAUCUCACGACACGAGCUGACGACAGCCAUGCAGCACCUAUGCAGCACCCCUUGCGGGAAGGGAUGUUUCCACCCCGAUGCACUGCAUUUCGAGCCCAGGUAAGGUUCUUCGCGUUGCGUCGAAUUGAACCACAUGCUCCACCGCUUGUGCGGGCCCCCGUCAAUUCCUUUGAGUUUCAGUCUUGCGACCGUACUCCCCAGGCGGAUUGCUUAUCGCGUUAGCUUCGGCACAUUGGGAUUGGGUACCCAAUACACCAAGCAAUCAUCGUUUAGGGCUAGGACUACCAG
rnacentral:misc_RNA from 1 species